GAGGGUAUAGCUCAAGCGGUAGAGCGCAUGCUUAGCAUGCAUGGGGUCCUGGGUUCAAUUCUUGGUACCUUUU
rnacentral:tRNA from 1 species